rnacentral:rRNA from 1 species
CCGGUUGAUCCUGCCGGACCCCACUGCUAUCGGGAUAGGACUAAGACAUGCUAGUCGUGUGCCUCAGCCAAAACGAGGCACGGCGCACAGCUCAGUAACACGUGGCUAACCUGCCCUUAGGACGAGAAUAACCCCGGGAAACUGGGGCUAAUGCUCGAUAGGUGAAGAACUCUGGAAUGAGUCUUCACUUAAAAGAGUCUGCGUUAUGCUCGUAGAUUUCGCUUAAGGAUGGGGCCGCGACCGAUCAGGUUGUUGGUGAGGUAAUGGCUCACCAAGCCUUUUACCGGUGCGGGCCGUGAGAGCGGGAGCCCGGAGAUGGGCACUGAGACAAGGGCCCAGGCCCUACGGGGCGCAGCAGUCGCGAAAACUUUGCAAUACACGAAAGUGUGACAGGGCUAUCCCGAGUGCCAUCCGCUGAGGAAGGCUUUUACCCAGUCUAGAAAGCUGGGGGAAUAAGGAGAGGGCAAGUCUGGUGUCAGCCGCCGCGGUAAUACCAGCUCUCCGAGUGGUGUGGAUGUUUAUUGGGCCUAAAGCAUCCGUAGCUGGCUAAGUUAGUCCCCUGUUAAAUCCAACGAAUUAAUCGUUGGAUCGCGGGGGAUACUGCUUGGCUAGGGGACGAGAGAGGCAGACGGUAUUUCCGGGGUAGGGGUGAAAUCCUAUAAUCCCGGGAAGACCACCAGUGGCGAAAGGCUGUCUGCUAGAACGCGCCCGACGGUGAGGGAUGAAAGCUGGGGGAGCGAACCGGAUUAGAUACCCGGGUAGUCCCAGCUGUAAACGAUGCAGGCUAGUGUUUGGGACGGCCACGGGGCCGCUCUAGUGCCGCAGGAAGCUGUUAAGCCUGCCGCCUGGGGAGUACGAUCGCAGAUUGAAACUUAAUGAUUGGCGGGGGG